rnacentral:rRNA from 1 species
GACGAACGCUGGCGGCGUGCUUAACACAUGCAAGUCGAACGGGAAGGCCCUGCUUUUGUGGGGUGCUCGAGUGGCGAACGGGUGAGUAACACGUGAGUAACCUGCCCUUGACUUUGGGAUAACUUCAGGAAACUUGGGCUAAUACCGGAUAGGAGCUCCUGCUGCAUGGUGGGGGUUGGAAAGUUUCGGCGGUUGGGGAUGGACUCGCGGCUUAUCAGCUUGUUGGUGGGGUAGUGGCUUACCAAGGCUUUGACGGGUAGCCGGCCUGAGAGGGUGACCGGCCACAUUGGGACUGAGAUACGGCCCAGACUCCUCCGGGAGGCAGCAGUGGGGAAUAUUGCACAAUGGGCGGAAGCCUGAUGCAGCCACGCCGCGUGCGGGAUGACGGCAUUCGGGUUGUAAACCGCUUUCGCCUGUGACGAAGCGUGAGUGACGGUAAUGGGUAAAGAAGCACCGGCUAACUACGUG